GUCCACGCUGUAAACGAUGAGUGCUAGUUGUCGGCAUGCAUGCAUGUCGGUGACGCAGCUAACGCAUUAAGCACUCCGCCUGGGGAGUACGGUCGCAAGAUUAAAAACUCAAAGGGAAUUGACGGGGGCCCGCACAAGCGGUGGAGCAUGUGGUUUAAUUCGAAGCAACGCGCAGAACCUUACCACCUUUUGACAUGUCCAGACCGCCGGAGAGAUCCGGUUUUCCCUUCGGGGACUGGAACACAGGUGCUGCAUGGCUGUCGU
rnacentral:rRNA from 1 species